UACAGAGGGUGCGAGCGUUGUCCGGAAUCACUGGGCGUAAAGGGCGCGUAGGUGGCGACCCAAGUCGAUGGUGAAAGCUCGCCGCUCAACGGCGAGUCGGCCACCGAUACUGGGUUGCUGGAGCACUGUAGAGGCUAAUGGAAUUCCGGGUGUAGCGGUGGAAUGCGUAGAGAUCCGGAAGAACACCGGUGGCGAAGGCGAUUAGCUGGGCAGUUGCUGACACUGAGGCGCGACAGCGUGGGGAGCAAACAGG
rnacentral:rRNA from 1 species